rnacentral:rRNA from 1 species
AGUGAACGCUGGCGGUAGGCCUAACACAUGCAAGUCGAACGGCAGCACAGUAAGAGCUUGCUCUUACGGGUGGCGAGUGGCGGACGGGUGAGGAAUACAUCGGAAUCUACUUUUUCGUGGGGGAUAACGUAGGGAAACUUACGCUAAUACCGCAUACGACCUACGGGUGAAAGCAGGGGAUCUUCGGACCUUGCGCGAUUGAAUGAGCCGAUGUCGGAUUAGCUAGUUGGCGGGGUAAAGGCCCACCAAGGCGACGAUCCGUAGCUGGUCUGAGAGGAUGAGCGGCGACAGUGGGAGUGAGAGACGGGAGAGAGGACGACGGGAGGCAGAAUGCGGGGAGGGUGGACAAUGGGCGGAAGUCUGAUACAGCCAUAGAGCGUGAGGGAAGGAGGCAUGCGGGUUGCCAAGUCCUUUUGUGGAGAAAAAAAAGCAGCAGGCGGGUACCCCGCUGGCCGGACGGUACCAAAAGAAGAAGCACCGGCGAACUUCGUG